UGGUAACUAAUGGCAGCUGGGAGGGGGAUGCUAGUAACCACCAUGACUCCUCUCUCGCUUGCAGCAAGCAGAGAAGAAAAGGCCUGAAAGCAAGUGUGCCACUGUGGAUGUUCCUCUGGAACCUUCUGAGACUGGAGCCACUGUGGCUUCUGCAAAGGUCUCAGGGGAGGGGGAAUAGGAGAAACUAUCUGUACUUACUCAGCUGUUCCAUGCCCCCUUCCACCUACAAGUUCAGUGGGGAGAAACCUCAUCAAUUUGCCUUCUGGAAAAAGAGCGCCUGAGCACAGACAAGGAUGAUGUAUACAGAGCCGUGUCACCAGCUGGGAAUAAACACAAGUUUCUUUACAUCUCUGAGAGGUUCUACCCCAAGCCCCUUCCCAGGCACCAAGAUCAUCUGACCUUCUUCAGGUUGCCAGCACGGGUUCCAAUGAAGACGACCGAAUGGC